UUGGAAAUGAUGAAUUUUUCCCCAGAUGAUCGAAACUGAAAUUAUCGAGCGCUGUUCUCAUUUAGUUGAGAAAUCCAAGCCAGGAAUCUUCUGAUCCUU